ensembl:lincRNA uncharacterized LOC102026434
GUAUUUCUUUGUCUUGUAGUGCUUUUGAGGUCGAAGGAAAAGUCAGACUUGGAUGAAAAGAGGAGCAUCUCAUUGAGUGAGGCCAGAGGAAAGGAUUUAAGUUUGACAGAAAGCCACAUCUUCUGUGCAGUAGCAGCUGUGCUCCUGAGACAAGAUGGUUAAUGUCAGAGUAAACAGAUUGGUCUGUACUGGGCGUUGGCCCCCAGCCUGCUUCCAACUCUGCUGAAGUUGUCACCAUCCAUGGCACCUUCAUCGAUGUCCUUGCAUGGUCAACAUGUUUCAGUGUGAUUUCACCCAUUUCAAGUGUGCACUGUCAUGCUGAAGGCCAAGAACAGGAAGUUUAUCAGCAAUGGUCAAGGUGGUUUUCGAAGACAGACGGUGUGGAUAGAGACACCACCUCCUCAGUCCCGUCUCUGCCCAGACACAUCUGCCCCAGGAACACUCAACUGUUGACUGAUCCUGCAAGACUGUUGAUGCUUUAUUUUUUUAAGAAGAAAAACUACCUUUUUCCUUCUGUGCAUAUCACAUACCAUCAGAAGCGGAGGCAUGAUGACCUGGCAAACAGCCUAGGAAGAAUCUGGGACUUAGCAAGUGGCUGCACCUGAGGAAUUCAGGUGUCUGGCCCAUACCCCUACAGUGUGGGACCCACAGCCAGCCUGUGAGGAAUCUGAGACUUGGCACCAGCCUGCCAGAACAGUUCGAGUGCCCGGCCCCUCUCUGUACAUCACAGGACCAGGCCACCUGGGGAAUGCCAGCCACAUGGUAGGACCCCGACUAGUGCACACAGGAUGUACAGACAAGACUAGCAAGAUGGAAAAGUCCAAUAUAUGAGCCAAAAGGUGGUAAGUUAGGUUAACCAGCAUUGUGCUCAGGGACAAAGACAUAAGAAAUAGGAGCAGGUGGGUGGGGCUAUCCCCUUUUUUAUAAUAUAAU